rnacentral:rRNA from 1 species
AUACGGAGGGUGCAAGCGUUAUCCGGAUUCAUUGGGUUUAAAGGGUGCGCAGGCGGACUUGUAAGUCAGUGGUGAAAUCCCGGGGCUCAACCUCGGAACUGCCAUUGAUACUGCAAGUCUUGAGUUUGGUUGAAGUGGGCGGAAUGUAGCAUGUAGCGGUGAAAUGCAUAGAUAUGCUACAGAACACCGAUCGCGAAGGCAGCUCACUAAACCAACACUGACGCUCAGGCACGAAAGCGUGGGGAGCGAACGGGAUUAGAAACCCGAGUAGUCC